rnacentral:tRNA from 2 species
GGGUCGAUGCUCGAGCGGUUAAUGGGGACGGACUGUAAAUUCGUUGACGAUAUGUCUACGCUGGUUCAAAUCCAGCUCGGCCCA